GACGAACGCUGGCGGCGUGCUUAACACAUGCAAGUCGAGCGGAGCGGCGAACGGGUGAGUAACUCGUGAGUAACUGCCCCCCUCCCUGGGAUAACAGUUGGAAACGGGUGCUAAUACCGGCUAGUGUGGGAUGUCUCGCGUCCUAUCAGCUUGUUGGUUGGGUAGUGGCCUACCAAGGCGACGCCGGGUAGCCGGCCUGGGAGGGCGACCGGCCACAAUGGGCUGAGAGACGGCCCAAUGGCCUACGGGAGGCAGCAGUGGGGAAUAUUGCACAAUGAGGGAAACCGUGAUGCAGAAACGCCGCGUGCGGAAUGACGGCCUUCGGGUUGUGAACCGCUUUCAGUCAUGACGCGGUAGUGGCAGAAGAAGCACCGGCUAACUACGUGCCAGCAGCCGCGGUAAUUC
rnacentral:rRNA from 1 species